rnacentral:rRNA from 1 species
GCUAAGUACUCUCUGACGACCGAUAGCGAACUAGUACCGUGAGGGAAAGGUGAAAAGUACCCCGGGAGGGGAGUGAAAUAGUACCUGAAACCACGUGCCUACAAGCGGUUGGAGCUCCCUUCGGGGGGUGACAGCGUGCUUUUUGCAUAACGAGCCUGCGAGUUACUCGUGUCCGGCGAGGUUAAGGAAACGGAGCCGUAGCGAAAGCGAGUCUGAAUAGGGCGAUUCAGUCGGACGCGGUAGACCCGAAACCGAGUGAUCUAUCCAUGGGCAGGUUGAAGCGGGGGUAAGACCUCGUGGAGGACCGAACCCACGUCGGUUGAAAACGGCGGGGAUGACCUGUGGAUCGGAGUGAAAGGCUAAUCAAACUCGGUGAUAUCUGGUUCUCUCCGAAAUAUAUUUUGGUAUAGCCUCCUGCGUUCAGCCGUGGUUGUAGAGCUACUGUUUGGCCUAGGGGCCCCACCAGGUUACCGAAGUCAGAUAAACUCCGAAUGCCACGGCUCCAGAGCAGGGGAGUCAGACAGCGGGGGAUAAGCUUCGUUGUCGAGAGGGAAACAGCCCAGACCACCAGCUAAGGGCCCCAAGCGCUGGCUAAGUGGAAAACGUUGUGCGAGUGCACAGACAACCAGGAUGUUGGCUUAGAGGCAGCCAUUCGUCUAAGGAGUGCGUAAUAGCUCACUGGUCAAGUGCUCGUGCGCGGAUAAUGUAACGGGGCUCAAGCCAGCCCCCGAAGCUGUGGGCGUCGUCCUUCGGGACGGCGCGGUAGGAGAGCGUUCCCCGUGCAGUGAAGCGGCGGCGGCAAGCCAGCCGUGGAGCGCGGGGAAGUGAGAAUGCCGGUAUAAGUAACGAAAGAGGAGUGAGAAACUCCUCCACCGGAUGCCCAAGGUUUCCUGAGUAAAGCUAAUCUGCUCAGGGUUAGUCGGGACCUAAGCCGAGGCCGACAGGCGUAGGCGAUGGCCAACUGGUUGAUAUUCCAGUACCACGUACCCACCGCUAUCACCGAUGGCGGGACGGGGUAGGACAAGGGAUCCCAGGCGAUGGUCGUCCUGGGGUAACCGCGUAGGGCGGGCGAUAGGCAAAUCCGUCGCCCAUUCAGCCUGAGACGGGAAGCCGACCCCAGAGAUGGGGGAAGUCCCUGAAACCAUGCCUCCUAGAAAAGCGUCUAGGGAGGUGGGGCGUGCCCGUACCAAAACCGACACAGGUGGACAGGUAGAGAAUACCAAGGCGAUCGGAAGAACCCUCGUUAAGGAACUCGGCAAAAUGGCCCCGUAACUUCGGGAGAAGGGGCGCCCCAGUAGGGUGAUCGGAUUUACUCCGUGAGCCCGAGGGGGCCGCAGUGAAACGGCCCAAGCGACUGUUUACCAAAAACACAGGUCUCUGCUAAGUCGUAAGACGACGUAUAGGGGCUGACGCCUGCCCGGUGCCGGAAGGUCACGAGGAGAGGUUAGCUUUCGGGCGAAGCCUUGAAUCCAAGCCCCGGUAAACGGCGGCGGUAACUAUAACCGUCCUAAGGUAGCGAAAUUCCUUGUCGGGUAAGUUCCGACCUGCACGAAUGGCGUAACGACUUGGGCGCUGUCUCAACGAGGGAUCCGGUGAAAUUGUAGUCUCGGUGAAGAUGCCGAGUACCCGUGGCUGGACGGAAAGACCCCGUGAACCUUUACUGCAGCUUUGCGUUGAAGUUCGGUAUACGUUGUCCAGGAUAGGUGGGAGACUGUGAACCGGGGGCGUCAGCUCUCGCGGAGUCACCCUUGGGAUACCACCCUUCGUGUUCUGGGCUUCUAACCCGAUUCCGUCAUCCGGGUCGGGGACAGCGUGAGGUGGGCAGUUUGACUGGGGCGGUCGCCUCCUAAAAUGUAACGGAGGCGCGCAAAGGUUCCCUCAGCACGGUUGGAAAUCGUGCGUAGAGCGUAAAGGCAUAAGGGAGCUUGACUGCGAGACUGACAAGUCGAGCAGGGACGAAAGUCGGCCUUAGUGAUCCGGCGGUGGAGAGUGGAAUCGCCGUCGCUCAACGGAUAAAAGGUACUCCGGGGAUAACAGGCUUAUCCUUCCCAAGAGUCCACAUCGACGGAAGGGUUUGGCACCUCGAUGUCGGCUCGUCGCAUCCUGGGGCUGAAGCAGGUCCCAAGGGUUGGGCUGUCCGCCCAUUAAAGCGGCACGCGAGCUGGGUUCAGAACGUCGUGAGACAGUUCGGUCCCUAUCCGCCAUGGGCGUUGGAGGUUUGAGAGGAGUCGUCUCUAGUACGAGAGGACCGAGAUGAACAGGCCUCUGGUGUAGCAGUUGUCCUGCCAAGGGCACCGCUGCUUAGCCACGCCUGGAUGGGAUAACCGCUGAAAGCAUCUAAGCGGGAAGCCCACCUCGAGAUGAGACCUCCCAUCCCCUCGAGGGAGUAAGGGCCGUGGAAGACCACCACGUCGAUAGGCGGCACGUGUACGCGCAGCAAUGCGCUCAGCGGAGCCGUACUAAUUGCCCGAGGUCUUGAUU